UCCCAGGUGUCCCAGUGGUAAAGAAUCUGCCUGCCAAGGCAGAAGACCCGGCUUCAAUCCCUGGCUUGGGAA
rnacentral:tRNA from 1 species